rnacentral:lncRNA from 1 species
GAUUGAAUAAUUAAAAGUUAAUUGUACAUAUUUUUCUUGUUUUCUAGCAAUUUGAAAAUUGGAUUUUCGGAUUUAAAAUAAUAUUUGGACUGGAAUAUAAAAAAAAAAAAAUAGGUUGGGCUGCAACCGCCGGCGCCGACCGACAGAGGGGCGGCAUAGGGUUCGGGCGGCAGACGCCGCUACAACCAGCAGCGGCAUUGCUGCCGCUUUCUUCAGCAGCACGAAAGCGCUGCCACAUUUGGCAGCGCUUUCGCGCUGCUUGGGCUUGG